rnacentral:rRNA from 1 species
AGUCACUGACAUUAGAUACCCCGGUAGUCCAGGGUGUAAACGCUGCAGACUUGGUGUUGGAAGCCCUUUGGGGGCAUUCAGUGCCGGAGAGAAGUUGUUAAGUCUGCUACUUGGGAGUACGUCCGCAAGGAUGAAACUUAAAGGAAUUGGCGGGGGAGCACCGCAACGGGAGGAGCGUGCGGUUUAAUUGGAUUCAACACCGUAAACUCACCAGGGAAGACUGUUACAUGAAGGCCGAGAUGAAGACUCUGCUAGAUUUUCAG